ACUUAAGAUGUGUACCUGCUGUAAAUAUGGACAAACAGUAAUCGGUAGGCUUUAGGUGGGCCUGCAUUGAGUAUUGGGAUGCCCAUUAAGGACCUACAUAUAUGA